rnacentral:lncRNA from 1 species
CUCCCCGCUGGAACCAACCCAACCCAAACGAAGUAACAGUAGCAAACCACACAUGUACCAAUAAACUUCAGUAUGAAACAGUUUCUCACCGAAAGAAACUACCAAAGCAUUUCCAAGAAUUUCGAAGAAACCGCCUCAAGUCAAUUCAGCCAAGGAUAUUAUUUUCCACAAGCAAAAAACUAUGGUUCAGCUCCCACAUGGGCAUGGGGUUUUUUGGGUUUCAAGACACAAAUCACAGAACUGGAUGGGCAUAUAGAAGGUACAUUGUGAAUCUACGGCAUCAACCUGUUGGAGUCACUUGUCCUCAGUGAUGAGCAGAUGCUUCCUCCUUGGGCUUGGUCAUCUGGACAGCCAAAAAAACAUGCAACUGUAAGAAGAUGGAUUGAUGGUAAAAAGAGUGAAGAAUUGUGAUUCAAUGAACAGAAAAGCAUAUGUACAUUAUAAUACUGCAGACAAGAAAAUAAUAAGCCUAAUAUGAAGAUAAUUGUUUUUCUUAUUGAUGGCUGUAAGAUGGACUGAUGGAAAAGAGAGAAGAAAUGUGAUUCAGUGAACAGAAAACAAGACGUUAUUAUUCAGCAGUGAUACUCGAUAUUUGACAAGUAUGGUUUCAUGUAUACAAGUUAGGCAGAGCAAUGUACAAGAUAAAUCGUUUUGUAUAAAGCGUGUCCAAUCAAUAUCCAAAAUGCUAUCGAGCAGAGCAUAGAAACAGAGUCCCAAAAAUCUAAUUAGCUGCUGCGGCGACAACCACGCGCCAUGCCGGCAGCGGCAGGCUGGGGCGAGGGUUGGGGAGGACGCAAGUGUUCUCAGGUUAUUAACAGGGAAACUGGGUGAUUAACAUCUCUCAAAAAAGAAAAAAAACAACUUAAAAUAUUGAGUGCGGCAACAACAUCUACUUGUUACUGGAGUCCCAGUUCAAGAUGGCCAGAGGCCACCACCAUGGAACCUGCACAAUUUCCAUCAUAUAUAUGAAUGAGUUAGGAAGUAAAGUAGAGUUGAACUACCCAGCCUCAUACAUAUAUAUAUAUAAAGUGUGCUGCACUGCUGCUACAGGAAGUUUCAUAGGCUUUCAAGUGAAGGGAUACACGUUGUUCAACUGUCGUGUUUAUUUUUUGUUGUUGGGGAAAGCAAUAGCUUAAUCAAUUCACUUCUCUAAAAGUAUGAACAGCCUAUCACUCAAACAGUCCUUGAGUGCUAAUAUAGUAUUGUAUUGGUAAAAAAACAUGUCACCACGAAGAGCUUUAACAGUUAGCACCAUUUUUAUUAGAGAAGUUCAGAGAGAGAUUUGAGAAAUCUAUAUUAGAGAAAACUUCAGUGCAUACAGAAAUUCUCUCAAGUCUCAUUGCAAAUAUCAAGUGCAUACAGAAGCUUUGAUUUGAGUGGGAAUGGUAUGAAAGGGGCAUAUAAGGACAAUAUACCCAAGAGUUGCAUAUCUACAUAGAAAUGAUGCUGAUCACAUAAGUAAAUAACAGUGAAUGACAAACUAUCUGCACUUAAGAUCGCACACACACCAACCAGCACCAAAAAAGUAAAGGGUAAAUAACAAUCUCACACUAUUAUCACUAGUGCACAAUUCUUCAUAGAAGAAACACUGCCUAAUAUAGACCUACCUAGGAAAUCAAAACAUUGUAGGAAUAGGUAUAUCCAUAUAUUUUGAAGAUGAACAACAACAAAGUGAUAUACUUACACGCACACAUGCAGUUUUAAUUAAUUAAAUGAGCAGGCAACAAAUGCAAUUGGAAAUCUAGGGGCAGGAGGUAGUGAGAGCAACGCAUGAGGGAUCGUCAAGAUGUAGGGGAUGGAGGUGUCUCACUUGGUUUCAAAAUAAGAUGCACACAAAGACAACCACAUAAAUAUAGCAGUGCAUACUACUGAGGAAAACAGGGACAUCUCUUUGCCAACAUGUAUAAUUCGGAGCAGCAAUAGCGUGCAGAGGAAGAUGAGAGGGAGAUGGAGAUGCUACCUGUCGUGGUGGGUCGGCGUGGACGUGCUUGAGCUCGGGGCAGGACCUCUUGGUCGCCCUAGGAGCAGAGCAGCAAACCCCUCAUGGCCCUCCUGCUCGCGAUG